UACGAAGGGGGCUAGCGUUGCUCGGAAUCACUGGGCGUAAAGCGCACGUAGGCGGAUCCUUAAGUCGGGGGUGAAAUCCUGGAGCUCAACUCCAGAACUGCCUUCGAUACUGAGGAUCUCGAAUCCGGGAGAGGGACGUGGAAUUCCAGGUGUAGCGGUGAAAUGCGUAGAUAUCUGGAGGAACACCGGUGGCGAAGGCGACGUCCUGGACCGGCAUUGACGCUGAGGCGCGAAAGCCAGGGGAGCAAACGGG
rnacentral:rRNA from 1 species